AACGAACGCUGGCGGCAUGCCUAACACAUGCAAGUCGAACGAGAUCUUCGGGUCUAGUGGCGCACGGGUGCGUAACGCGUGGGAAUCUGCCCUUUGGUUCGGAAUAACAGUUGGAAACGACUGCUAAUACCGGAUGAUGACGAAAGUCCAAAGAUUUAUCGCCAGAGGAUGAGCCCGCGUAGGAUUAGCCAGUUGGUGUGGUAAAGGCGCACCAAGGCGACGAUCCUUAGCUGGUCUGAGAGGAUGAUCAGCCACACUGGGACUGAGACACGGCCCAGACUCCUACGGGAGGCAGCAGUGGGGAAUAUUGGACAAUGGGCGAAAGCCUGAUCCAGCAAUGCCGCGUGAGUGAUGAAGGCCUUAGGGUUGUAAAGCUCUUUUACCCGGGAUGAUAAUGACAGUACCGGGAGAAUGAGCUCCGGCUAACUCCGUGCCAGCCGCCGCUGUAA
rnacentral:rRNA from 1 species